AACAAAACACAGAAUUUCGCUAUCUUAUUAAAUGACACUAUGCUGGACUAUUGGGUUUAGUUAUUAUUUUAGAAAAGCCCAUAUAGCUUUUGUGACAUUCUUCCUCAGGAUUGCUUAUCGUGACCCAGAAGGACGAUUGAAGAUUCCCUUCUUCAGCUUUCAACGGUGACGGCCAGUAACGCUUUCUUUAGACACCUGGCAACUCCUCCUGAUUCUUCAGCUCACUUAAGAUCAAUACCAAAACAUCAUCUCCCUCAGAUUCGGUCGACGAUCUCUGGAAUAUUUGGUCCUUUCUCUUCGAAAAUAGGUGCUUGGAGCUUUCGGCUCUUAUGGAUUGAAACUAACCGUUCGAUUUGUAGCGAUGGUUCUCGGUUUGGUUUCGGAGAGCUUUGGAGGAGAUUCCGAGACAUCAAUCAAAGUCAAUCAAAGCUUUUCACCAUACAAUCUACUUACAUGAUUUACUUCAACAAGGACGCUUGGAAGUUUCACAUGUCAGAUUCUGUAAACUCGAAUCAAGUAAGUAAAAAUGGAAACUGUUAUAUCUCUUAUACGUUUGUCUUUGCUAUCGUAUCGUUUGACUACUGUCUUAAACCGCCAUGGAGCACCUCCUAUCAUCAAACACUCUCUACCUCAUCUUAAAUCUGUUGCCCCUUUUUCGGAUUGUGUUUGUGGCGUUUUGAGAAGAAAUAGAAGAAAACCAUGGCAGGAGCUGAUUGUGCUUGAUAUCAAAGGCCGUGUUCGCGUCUGGUGUGACUACCACGGCGAUGUGCCGUCGUGGAAGCCGAGCGCUUCUUCUCCAAGCUCUCAGGGCUUGGAAAUAUCUUAAGGCAGCAACAUGUUGCAAGUCUCUGGCUGUUGUCUACAAUGGUAUGCUGCAAAUCGGGAUGCUUGCUAGAUAAGCUGAUCAAAGGAUCGAUGUAAGAAGGCGUAAUGAAAUCUAAAGCAUGUUAUUUAGCCAGUCUUUCUCUUUAUAUCAUGGGAGAUUAAAGCUACCAUUUCUACAUGCGAAUACACAGGUGGUGAUUUUGCAGCUGCUUGGUGAUAAGGGAAUCACAAGUAUUGGUGGAAACAUGAUUAGGUGCUUCACAUCUCCAGACCAGGCUUACGUAGGCUUACAUUCCUUCAAUUGAAAGAAGCUGGAUGCGGGGAGGUGUUGUAUUGGUUCAGCUUAUAUUUCCCAAGAAACAGAUUGCAGUGAGUACCCAGCCCCGUAAAGCAGAGAAAAUUCAUCACAUGCGUCGUCGCGUCGAUCGGUUCAAAGAACUUAUGAAUGCGUGAUCAUGUGGUUUAAACACGGAGUGGAAAUGUAAAUUUUCUCAAGAAAUCAUGAACUAAACACUUAUAUAUCAGCGCCGAGUUCUUUUUUCAAUAUAAACAAGUAAUCUUCUUCACAGGAUAAACUUCAAACUUCGAAGUGUUGUCUCAAUGUAGACAUGUGUUUCGUUUGUGGGUGUCAUUUUGAAUGAUCGUUCAAGAGACUAACAAAUCAGUGGAAAUUACGCUGAAUGAUGUCUCUAGACUCGAGGACAAAAAAUUGCUUCUCAUAGAGGUUUGUAUUAUUUUUAGUUUUGAGCUUCUAAAUGUAGAUUUAUUGAUGCUCGCAUAAUCUUUGACUCACAGUUUUAGAAAAGCUUGUGAUGUGUGAUUAUUAUGAUUUAAACGUAUGGAAUAAAAGAGAAGAUUUCUCAUCA